rnacentral:rRNA from 1 species
AACGAACGCUGGCGGCAGGCCUAACACAUGCAAGUCGAACGCCCCGCAAGGGGAGUGGCAGACGGGUGAGUAACACGUGGGAACCUACCUUGUGGUACGGAACAACCAAGGGAAACUUUGGCUAAUACCGUAUGAGCCCGAGAGGGGAAAGAUUUAUCGCCAUAAGAUGGGCCCGCGUCGGAUUAGCUAGCUGGUGAGGUAAUGGCUCACCAAGGCGACGAUCCGUAGCUGGUCUGAGAGGAUGACCAGCCACACUGGGACUGAGACACGGCCCAGACUCCUACGGGAGGCAGCAGUGGGGAAUAUUGGACAAUGGGCGCAAGCCUGAUCCAGCCAUGCCGCGUGUGUGAUGAAGGCCUUAGGGUUGUAAAGCACUUUCGCCGAUGAAGAUAAUGACGGUAGUCGGAGAAGAAGCCCCGGCUAACUUCGUGCCAGCCGCCGCCGUAAUAC